UUGAAAAAAAUCUGUCUGAAACUGGCAGGUUAAAUUCUGAACAAUCUAUUAACAGUCUCUUCUCUAGAUUAAAGCAAUAAUUUUCAAAACUAUCAACAGAGUUUAAAUGUACAAGAUCUAUUUCAGGCCUUUCCAGCCAUUGCUAUUGAUGCUCAGAGGGUUCUGAAAAUUCGCCAGUGGCACCUGCUCUGUUUCCUCUGUCUCUUGGCCAUGACCGCUGUAAUUUUUGACAAGGGGCCAUAGAUCUCCUCAGCAUAUUUUCCACCCAGACCUGGAAUCCAUCAGAUGCCAUUUUCUCAAGGAGAAAAAUAAAGUUCUGAGACCAGAAUCAAAAUCCCCGAGGGGGUCACCGCUACUGACUUGUCACUGCUCCUGGGACUCCUCAGCGGACAGGUAACAGACCAACAGGAGAAGCUGCAGCUGGCAGUGCUUCUGUGUGUUGCUAGCAACGGGAAACCAUGACAGAGCAGGGCCCCACCGAGAGCCGUCUGCAUUUGCUCAUCUGGGAUGAGGGACCACAGCAUGGCUGUUUAUUAAGUGCUCUGGAUCCUGGUCAUUUCUGGGAAAUACAAUGCAAACAGAGAGAAUUCAAGGGCCAUGGUUGCUGCCAUCCGUGGCUGGCGCUGUCGUGGGAUGAUGAGGUUCACAGAUGAGCAUUAGUACAAGGGGUCGUGAUGACGCACUGGGCGGAUUUUGGACAACUCUAGAAAUUUUGGAGAAAGUGGUGCUGUGAAGGUGGUGUGAUUCUCUGAUACGUGAGAUUUGGAGACAUGACGGUUGGAUGAAUUGCCUUGAGGUCAAAGGUUUGGGCUGUUCUCCAGAAAUUACGGCCUCCCGAAACUGCCAGAUAUGGAUGACUCUCCUUAUUUAGAGUUGUGCUAAGCACCUUCCUCUUGCAUCAUUCAAUCCAAAGAGCUUGGGCCACAGCAGCUCUUGGAUAAGCUGGUCGCUUGCUGGCAUCUGGAAGAAGUCGUUCCUAAUGGGCUUUCCAUCUGCUAAGGAGGAGAAGCUGAAAAACAUGGUUUCCACACCCCAGCUCCGUUGAACACGCAGAGAACCUAAUCUUUGUCUGACUGACCUACCCUGUGACUGAAUUUUGCAAUGAAACCUUAUUGGGUUGUUAUACACCAUUGCAACCGGGCACCUUAAAAUUAGAUGGAAGAAACAGAAUAUGUUACCAGAGGAUGUGCUGACUGGAGGAAAAGAGAAAGAUGAGAUGUUGAUCUUGGAGCAGACGGAAGGUGGCACCCCGGAAAGGAGGUCGCAAGUUAUCUCAAGUACCUGAGACCGCUGCACUGCCAAUCUCAGAAAACAAGACCUAGGAUUGCGAUUCUUACAGAAUGACAGCUGAGAUGUCACCGCGACUGUUUAGCGGCUUUUAAAUGCUGUCAGUUUUGAAAAAGCCUUGACACAGCUGCCACCGACAACAAUCCAUUGCAUUAAAAUGACUGCCCUCUGACUGA